rnacentral:rRNA from 8 species
CAGGUGCUGCAUGGCUGUCGUCAGCUCGUGUUGUGAAAUGUUGGGUUAAGUCCCGCAACGAGCGCAACCCUUAUCCUUUGUUGCCAGCGAUUAGGUCGGGAACUCAAAGGAGACUGCCAGUGAUAAACUGGAGGAAGGUGGGGAUGACGUCAAGUCAUCAUGGCCCUUACGACCAGGGCUACACACGUGCUACAAUGGCGCAUACAAAGAGAAGCGACCUCGCGAGAGCAAGCGGACCUCAUAAAGUGCGUCGUAGUCCGGAUUGGAGUCUGCAACUCGACUCCAUGAAGUCGGAAUCGCUAGUAAUCGUGGAUCAGAAUGCCACGGUGAAUACGUUCCCGGGCCUUGUACACACCGCCCGUCACACCAUGGGAGUGGGUUGCAAAAGAAGUAGGUAGCUUAACCUUCGGGAGGGCGCUUACCACUUUGUGAUUCAUGACUGGGGUGAAGUCGUAACAAGGUAACCGUAGGGGAACCUGCGGUUGGAUCACCUCCUUACCUUAAAGAAGC